rnacentral:rRNA from 1 species
AUUGAACGCUGGCGGCAGGCCUAACACAUGCAAGUCGAACGGUAACAGGAAACAGCUUGCUGUUUCGCUGACGAGUGGCGGACGGGUGAGUAAUGUCUGGGAAACUGCCUGAUGGAGGGGGAUAACUACUGGAAACGGUAGCUAAUACCGCAUAACGUCGCAAGACCAAAGAGGGGGACCUUCGGGCCUCUUGCCAUCGGAUGUGCCCAGAUGGGAUUAGCUAGUAGGUGGGGUAACGGCUCACCUAGGCGACGAUCCCUAGCUGGUCUGAGAGGAUGACCAGCCACACUGGAACUGAGACACGGUCCAGACUCCUACGGGAGGCAGCAGUGGGGAAUAUUGCACAAUGGGCGCAAGCCUGAUGCAGCCAUGCCGCGUGUAUGAAGAAGGCCUUCGGGUUGUAAAGUACUUUCAGCGGGGAGGAAGGGAGUAAAGUUAAUACCUUUACUCAUUGACGUUACCCGCAGAAGAAGCACCGGCUAACUCCGAG